GGGAGAGAGAGGGAGAGGAAGGGAGAGACAGAGAAAGGGAAGGAGAGAAGGAAUGGGAAGCGCCUAGAGGUUUGGGGGCAGCAACCACAGACAGGAUGGUGAUUUAAGGAUCCCUUGUGAUCCCCGAGAUGAUCCUGAGAGCAUCAGUUGGGGAACUGGAUGAGAAGUCUCGGCAGACAUGUGGAUUU